CUUGGUGACCCUUACCCCCUUUGCGCAAAUGAUGGAAAACUCAUGUUUGGAAAAGAAUGACACCAGCAAAGGAACCCCUGAUGCCGCAGAGGGAGGGGGGAGGAGUGUGGAGGGCGUGGGGGUUGGAAGAGCACUCAACUAGGGCUUCCUUCUCCACUCAGGCCCGACGGAGAGAAGAAGGCGUAUGUCCGGUUGGCUCCUGAUUAUGAUGCUCUGGAUGUUGCCAACAAAAUUGGAAUCAUCUAAACUGAGUCCUGCCGGCUAAUUCUAAAUAUACACUUUUUCAACAUAAAUAAUGCUGCUUGUCUUUUUUUUCCGCUUUCUGGUUGGGCUGCUGACAUUGCUGUACUGUGGUAUACACUGAGGUAACAGUGCUUAUAUAUGGGGUGGGUGCUGGGAAGUGUUUUUCCAGCUCUGAGCAAAAAAUAAAUAUUUACUCCAUUGGAA